AGGGACUGGGUGGGUUGCAGAGGAAGUUUAUGGGGAGAGUUGGCUCCGGAAUCCUCUCCUGAGUAACAAAAUCUAAGAAGAGGAAGCAGAGAUACAGAGAAGCCAGUGGGAUACAGCAAGCUCUGGUGGUGAACCCUGAUAAUGGGGCAGGACCUGGACUUCCAAGGAGAAAGCCCUGGAUGGUGAGGAGCAAUGUUGGUCGUGAGGUAUUGCUACAAUGCAAUACCACUUCAUGAAUGUCGUGACAACACAACACCAUUCUCUCAUAUGCUGAGGGUCCCUGGGCUGACACCCAGAGAAGUGGGAGGGCCUACAUUCCCCUACCAGUCACCAGUGAAGGUGGAGUGAACUUCCUCCUUGUAUAAGGGGAUGAGGACUCGUGAAAGCCCUGGGGACAAGAAGAUGUAAGGACCCUGGGACCCAGGGUCAAGGGCUGAAAACCUGAUGAAAAGUUGCUAGACUUUGUUACCCUGGAAGGGGUGGAACUAUAAUGUGACCUGGCUGGAGGGCCAAGUCAUGAGAAGAGAGACCCGCACAGGCCCAGACUGAACAUCGGCAGGAGGCACACCAGGCUACAGCGGAAAGAGCGGCUACACCACACGCAGCCAAGAGGGGAGCACACCAGCAGUGACUCCACCUUUCCACAGGGACUGAGAAUCAUUUCUGCAGACUAGAAAUGAAGUAGGAAUUUUGAGAAGCCAGCUCAGGAGAAUGCAUCAUUGCAUCAGCUUUCCAACCACUGUCCCAGCAGCUGACAUGUCUGUUGUUCUUCCUUUUGUUUGGCUCGUCUUACCUUUCUAACCUGCCUUUUACUGGUUACCAGUAUUUUAAAGGAGGAAGGAAAACAACAAUUAUUGAAACUUUAAAGUUUUCACAGAACUCAUUAACAAGCUAGGGUGACCAGAUGAGAUGAAGAAAAUAUCAGGGGGAAGGGAGGAGCCAGCGGAGCAAGGAGAAGAAAAAAAAAAUGUGCUGCCGGCAGAGCAAGAAAAACAACAACAACAAAAAAACAGUGCUGCCGGCAGAGUGAAAUAUCCGGACAAAUUGUGUCCUGACCGAUCUUUGGUCAGGAUGUGGGACAACCACCCAAAUAUCAGGACACUCCCUAUAACAAGCAGCCAAGAGGGGGCACCAGCGUAAAAAGAUUACAUACAAAUGGGAUUCAAUUUGCCAAAAGUAAUUAAUAUAUCAAGUAAACUAGAGGCGGCUAUUGCUGUUGGUAACAAUUUCACUCUAAAACCUUUCGCCGCUUAACCCUGUAGACAAGCUUUCUGUUCUUCAACAACAUGGUAGUGGCAACAUAAUUUUCUCCACAAUACAUCACCACUGUGCCACCAUUCUGACCUAGAGAUAUAACCCUUCUUGAGAAAAAAUGAUCAAAUGCACGUUCAAUCCUUGGCCUCUGAGUUAAACCUGCCAGUUAAGGUACCAGUUAAUGGCAACAGCAAUGGUAUUUUUGUAAGAUGUCUAUAAUAACUUAGAAAUUGACUCAUUUCACGCAGGCCACCAAAUAGCCAUCAGAUGUUAAUGACUUUGUUUUGUUCAUAAUUUCCCUGGGCUGGAUUUGAAUGACUCUAUAUCUUAUUACCAAUUCCCUGAGCUAUUCAGUCUUUCAAAAUCUUUUAUUUCUGACCCAGGAGUGACACUGGACUCUACUGCCUGUAACCUCAGAAGCUCCAAGGCCAGUCAUGUUAACAAGAGGCUUUCAUACUGGAGUUAGUCUAAAACAGAGGCGAUCACAUAUUUCAGUUAAAAAAAAAAAUGGGUAACUAACUAUAUGUAAACCCAUAGCAGUGGAAAAUAAAUGGCAGAAUGCAUGGGAUGCCUCCUUAAACAUCUAAGCAGCACACUAGUUAGUUGAAUUCAAAAUGGGUUCAGAUAAUUUACACUGGAUUCAGUCUACAGCCAGGAACUUCUAAACAUCAGGAAUGUUUUUCAAAAGUAUUAAAUUAAUGUUUUUUGUGAAUCAUCUCAUCAUUCUUCCUUUUGCAACAAAUAAUGUUUAUACUAUAAUUCUCUUACAUCUUUGAAUUUUGCAGUUAAAGUGACACCACAAUUGGAAAUCUAGUCAAUUUAACCCCCCAAAAAAGGUUAAAAGUAGUUUCAGGUAUUAUU